ACAUGCAAGUCGAACGCAGUAGCAAUACUGAGUGGCAAACGGGUGAGUAUAAUGUGGGAAUCUGCCUUUUGGUUUGGAAUAACACGGGGAAACUUGUGCUAAUACCGAAUAAGCCCUUACGGGGAAAGUUUUAACGCCGAAAGAUGAGCCCGCACUUGAUUAGCUAGUUGGUAAGGUAAUAGCUUACCAAGGCAACGAUCAAUAGCUGUUCUUAGAGGAAGACCAGCCACAUUGGGACUGAGACACGGCCCAGACUCCUACGGGAGGCAGCAGUGGGGAAUCUUGCACAAUGGGGGAAACCCUGAUGCAGCGAUGCCGCGUGAGUGAAGAAGGCCUUUGGGUUGUAAAACUCUUUCGUCGGGGAAGAAAAUGACUGUACCCGAAUAAGAAGGUCCGGCUAACUUCGUGCCAGCAGCCGCGGUAAUACGAAGGGACCUAGCGUAGUUCGGAAUUACUGGGCUUAAAGAGCUCGUAGGUGGUUAAAAAAGUUGAUGGUGAAAUCCCAAGGCUCAACCUUGGAACUGCCAUCAAAACUUUUUAGCUAGAGUGUGAUAGAGGUAAGUGGAAUUUCUAGUGUAGAGGUGAAAUUCGUAGAUAUUAGAAAGAACACCAAAUGCGAAGGCAACUUACUGGGUCACUACUGACACUGAGGAGCGAAAGCAUGGGUAGCGAAGAGGAUUAGAUACCCUCGUAGUCCAUGCCGUAAACGAUGAGUGCUAGACGUUGGGAAUAUAUUUUUCAGUGUCGCAGCGAAAGCAUUAAGCACUCCGCCUGG
rnacentral:rRNA from 1 species